CGGUACGUGCUGGCAUUGUUGGUUUCUCCCUUCUGACGAACCAUGAUGUCAUUUAUUUGGUGUUGUGGGGAAUCAGGACUGUUACUUUGAAAAAAUUAGAGUGUUUAAAGCAGGCUCACGCUUGAAUACAUUAGCAUGGAAUAAUGAAAUAGGACGUUUGAUUCUAUUUUGUUGGUUUCUAGGAUCGACGUAAUGAUUAAUAGGGAUAGUUGGGGGCAUUAGUAUUCAAUUGUCAGAGGUGAAAUUCUUGGAUUUAUUGAAGACUAACUACUGCGAAAGCAUUUGCCAAGGAUGUUUUCAUUAAUCAAGAACGAAAGUUAGGGGAUCGAAGACGACCAGAUACCGUCGUAGUCUUAACCAUAACCUAUGCCGACUAGGGAUCGGAUGAUGUUAAUUUUUUAAUGACUCAUUCGGCGCCUUACG
rnacentral:rRNA from 1 species